rnacentral:tRNA from 1 species
UGGCUCAGACGGUAAAGCAUCUGCCUACAAUUCAGGAGACCCAGGUUCAAUCCCUGG